rnacentral:rRNA from 2 species
GACAGUGGAACUCCAUGUGUAGCGGUGAAAUGCGUAGAUAUAUGGAAGAACACCAGUGGCGAAGGCGGCUGUCUGGUCUGUAACUGACGCUGAGGCUCGAAAAGUAUGGGUAGCAAACAGGAUUAGAUACCCUGGUAGUCCAUACCGUAAACGAUGAAUGCUAAGUGUUGGAGGGUUUCCGCCCUUCAGUGCUGCAGCUAACGCAUUAAGCAUUCCGCCUGGGGAGUACGGCCGCAAGGCUGAAACUCAAAGGAAUUGACGGGGGCCCGCACAAGCGGUGGAGCAUGUGGUUUAAUUCGAAGCUACGCGAAGAACCUUACCAGGUCUUGACAUACUAUGCAAAUCUAAGAGAUUAGACGUUCCCUUCGGGGACAUGGAUACAGGUGGUGCAUGGUUGUCGUCAGCUCGUGUCGUGAGAUGUUGGGUUAAGUCCCGCAACGAGCGCAACCCUUAUUAUCAGUUGCCAGCAUUAAGUUGGGCACUCUGGUGAGACUGCCGGUGACAAACCGGAGGAAGGUGGGGAUGACGUCAAAUCAUCAUGCCCCUUAUGACCUGGGCUACACACGUGCUACAAUGGAUGGUACAACGAGUUGCGAACUCGCGAGAGUAAGCUAAUCUCUUAAAGCCAUUCUCAGUUCGGAUUGUAGGCUGCAACUCGCCUACAUGAAGUCGGAAUCGCUAGUAAUCGCGGAUCAGCAUGCCGCGGUGAAUACGUUCCCGGGCCUUGUACACAC